rnacentral:lncRNA from 1 species
UCCUGCAUGUUAUCAUUAAUUACCAUUUCAUUUAAAGCAUUUUUUAAUAAUUUAAAUGAUAAGCAAAUGCAAAAUUUUUAUAUUAAUGUGUAUACAUAGCUCAAACUUACUUAAAAUCGUUAUCGAUAUUGUAUAUUAUAAAUUAAUUAGCAAAUAUAUCAAAGUUAAGUAAUGUUACCACUAUUGUGUUAAAUAAAUAUGCUUUUUCAGCAACUGUCUGUCCUGGAAAUGAAGUCCAUACGAGACAAGUAUCUCAGAGUAUAUAAGAAAAGUGGAUCAGGAGCUGAUGGGAUAAUAGAGGAUCACAACAUGGACUGUGAGCAGUUAUUUGAAUUUUCUGAAUCCUUAUUUAAAGCCAAAAAGGUAUUAUAUCAUUUGUUAAAAGUAAUAAUUCUAUUUUACUAAACAAUAACCAAGCUAAUUUAACUUAAUAUAUGGGUUUUUCAGGUCAAAAUAACAAUUUUUCAUUUCAAAUUAACAAUUUUUCAUUUCAAAUUAACAAUUUUUCAUUUCAAAUUAACAAUU